CCCGUGACCCCGCGGCCGCUCUGCGCGUUUUCCGAUUUCUUGCUGGUUGAAUACCUCCCUCUCCACUCCCAACUUCAGGAGACGGGGUUUCACCAUGUUGCCCAGGCUGGUCUGGAACUUCUGAGCUCAAGUAAUCCACCCACCUCUUCCUCCCAAGGUGCUGGGAUUACAGAUGUGAGCCACCACAACCAGGCACAAAAAUAUCUUUAUUUUGUAGCAAAGUUUGAUGUUUGACAAUAAUUGCUUAAAAAUGGAGAAUUAUCAAUAAAAUUUUACCAGAG